rnacentral:rRNA from 1 species
GCCUACGGGGCGCAGCAGUGAGGAAUAUUGGUCAAUGGGCUUACGCCUGAACCAGCCAAGUCGCGUGAGGGAAGACUGCCCUAUGGGUUGUAAACCUCUUUUGUCAGGGAGCAACGCCGGCUACGUGUAGCCGGACUGAGAGUACCUGAAGAAAAAGCAUCGGCUAACUCCGUGCCAGCAGCCGCGGUAAUACGGAGGAUGCGAGCGUUAUCCGGAUUUAUUGGGUUUAAAGGGUGCGCAGGCGGAUUGAUAAGUUAGAGGUGAAAUGUCCGGGCUCAACUCGGGAACUGCCUCUAAUACUGUUG